UACAGAAGUAUACGAGUGUCUGGCAUCGAGAAACUAUGAACUUCUACAUUGUUGGUUUGAUUUAGAGAAAUGUGUAAGUAAGACCAGCUGCCGAAAGGAAAAGGACAUGCGAUGUCUCUUUCCAGAAAUUUUGUUCUCAGAACGACCUUUAUCUCCUAUAACAGAACACAAAACUUAGAGCAUCGCGACUGGCAUUUUCGUAGCGAAGAGAGGCAACAUUCUUGCACAGAAGCGGAUAAAACUCAAAACAAAACAAAUGAUGAGCGUGCAAUGCACAGUAGCAAAAUUACCCGAAUGACAUAUUGUGAUGCGAUGAAAUUUCCUGUCACUGCCGGGACAACUAUCACAAGUGUAGCGCAAGUUCAGAACAAAAAACAACAACAUUCACCCAAAGCAAUUAGACAUUGACCAAAGUGGUUGUUUUCGUGGUAACAAGGGUGUGAGAGCGAAGAGAAAACAUGGAACAAACGUUGAAUAAGGCAAUGUAAUCUGUUUAUCACCUUAGCCCUUUCACCCGAACACCUCAUACAAUAUUACACACCAUUCCUACGAUAAUAUUAGGACACACCGCCUAAAACCUAUGUUUGGAAUACGCGGACAAUUACAAUUAGAUUAAAAGAAAAGAAACAUUUUUACUGUAUGCAGCGAGAAAGACAAUAACCGUACGUUUUUUUGGGUCAUCAAAUUAAUCAAAAUACAUCAUGUCACCAUAGCAAAGGACUCAAUUGUACAAUUACCUAUUUAUACUUAUAAAUCAAACAACAAGUUGAGAAGUUUAUUUGUAUUUUUUUUCAAUAUUAUUAAAGCUUUAAAGUAAACAAUACUAUAAGAACUGAAGUUAUUUUGGGCUAAUCUCUUAAUAAUAAACUUAUAUUCCAGGCAACACGCUCCCAAAAAAGACCAACAUUUUCAUAAGGCGACCAAUUUCGUACAAAACAAAGAAACAAUAUCUAUUGUUCCAAGUUAUACUUAAGAGAAUACUAUAGCAUAACAAAACUUUCAUCUUACGCAGGCCCGCUCUUAUCAUGCCUCCUCUCUCUUUUGUAUCCCAUUUUUAUAUUCUUUACGCACAGCCUCUCAGUAUAUAAUUUUUUUAGCAACAUCUACAGACGUAGAGACUUUAAACACCUUUGAAAUAACUAAAUAUUUAAUGCCACACUAUGCUACGGGUAGAACUGGAAGUAUAAAAACUGUGUUCUCGCCUAGUAUCAGUGUUUAGUGUGUAUAAAAGGGACGAAAACAAUAAGAGAAUGCGGUGGUUGCAAUGAGUGUGGCUUUGUCGAGAAAUAUUAAUAUCCACGUCGGCUCAACUAAAAAAAAAAAACAAUUUCGUUUUUUGAAACCAACAUAAUUUUAGAUUUAAUGAUAUAUUUUGUAAGAAAUAAAUGUUUUUUGCGUUCUUUAAUAAAAUUAGGUCAUAGAUUUUUUUUAAAAUGAAGCACAAUGUUUUGCCGUUGUUAAGUUUCAGCUUUCUUGAUUUAAAAACGUAUUAGAAUCUCAUAUACACAUUUAAUAGAUGAAACUAACCUCUGUUUCACGUUAUUGUAAUGAGAUACCAAUGUUAAGAGCUGUGCCAUUAUUCAAUAAAUCCAAAGCAUCUAGGGAUGCAAUUUUGUGUUCGGGACCCAGUGACAAUUUACUUACAACAUACAGGUACUAAAUUAAUGUUUCAGAACUAAACAAUUUAUAUUUACGUGUGAUUUCGUUACAGCGUUACCAAAAUUCGAAAUUAUUGUUUAAGUUACACACACGUAUCAUAUGAAUGUUUCGAAAAAAUCGAUCAAAUAAAUCUUGACAGAACUUAUUUUUCUUUUUUUGUAUGUUGCAAGGCCUACAUAAAAUCGUGCAGUAAUACCAUCUGCCUACCCAAUUUGCUGCCUAAAAAUUCUGAUUUGAAAUUCAAAGAAAGUCAAAUCUCAAUAGAAUAAAUCAUGGUACAAUAAAAAGGCCUUGGCAUAGACAACGAAAGCUUUCAAUAUCGAUUGCUAAAAAAUGUCGCAACAAUGGGGUUACACACACGUAUCAUAUCUGGAAAAUGGUCCGGGUGGUCCCGCUACUGAAACCAGGCAAGGAUGUCAGUAAGGGCGAAUCGUACUGGCCGAUUUCGCUUUUGUCGCCAGUAGCUAAGAUUCUUGAGGCUUUAUUCCUCCCCAG